rnacentral:rRNA from 1 species
AUUGAACGCUGGCGGCAGGCCUAACACAUGCAAGUCGAACGAGUGGCGGACGGGUGAGUAAUGUCUGGGAAACUGCCUUAUGGAGGGGGAUAACUACUGGAAACGGUAGCUAAUACCGCAUAACAUGGUAUGUGCCCAUAUGGGAUUAGCUAGUGGGUGGGGUAAAGGCUCACCUAGGCGACGAUCCCUAGCUGGUCUGAGAGGAUGACCAGCCACACUGGAACUGAGACACGGUCCAGACUCCUACGGGAGGCAGCAGUGGGGAAUAUUGCACAAUGGGCGCAAGCCUGAUGCAGCCAUGCCGCGUGUAUGAAGAAGGCCUUCGGGUUGUAAAGUACUUUCAGCGGGGAGGCGUUACCCGCAGAAGAAGCACCGGCUAACUCCGUGCCAGCAGCCGCGGUAAUUC